AACGAACGCUGGCGGCAUGCCUAACACAUGCAAGUCGAACGAGUAUGGUCUAGCUUGCUAGAACCCAGCUAGUGGCAAACGGGUGAGUAACGCGUGGGAACCUUCCUAAUAGUACGGAAUAGCCGUUGGAAACGACGAUUAAUACCGUAUACGCCCUCCGGGGAAAGAUUUAUCGCUAUUAGAUGGGCCGCGUUGGAUUAGCUAGUUGGUGGGGUAAUGGCCUACCAAGGCAACGAUCUAUAGCUGGUCUGAGAGGAUGAUCAGCCACACUGGAACUGAGACACGGUCCAGACUCCUACGGGAGGCAGCAGUGGGGAAUAUUGGACAAUGGGCGAAAGCCUGAUCCAGCAAUGCCGCGUGAGUGACGAAGGCCUUAGGGUUGUAAAGCUCUUUCAGGUGGAAAGAAAGCGGAUGGGUUAAUACCCUGUCCGGAUGACGGUACCACCAGAAGAAGCACCGGCUAACUACGUGCCAGCAGCCGCGGUAAAGUCUAGC
rnacentral:rRNA from 1 species